rnacentral:rRNA from 1 species
GACAGAGGGUGCAAACGUUGUUCGGAAUUACUGGGCGUAAAGCGCGUGUAGGCGGCUAAGUAAGUCGGGCGUGAAAUCCCACGGCUCAACCGUGGAAGUGCACUCGAAACUGCAUAGCUAGAGUCCUGGAGAGGAAGGUGGAAUGCUUGGUGUAGAGGUGAAAUUCGUAGAUAUCAAGCGGAACACCGGUGGCGAAGGCGGCCUUCUGGACAGUGACUGACGCUGAGACGGCGAAAGCGUGGGGAGCGAACAGG